GCCCAGAUAGCUCAGUCGGUAGAGCAGUAGACUGAAAAUCUACGUGUGGCUGGUUCGAUCCCGGCUCUGGGCACCA
rnacentral:tRNA from 3 species